rnacentral:rRNA from 1 species
AACUAACGCUGGCGGCGCGCCUAAUACAUGCAAGUCGAACGAUGUAGCAAUACAUAGUGGCGCACGGGAGAGUAACACGUGGAUAAUCUCCCCUCGAGAGAAGAAUAACUAGUCGAAAGAUUGGCUAAUACUUCGUAAGACCACAGAAACAAAUGUUUCAGGGGUAAAAGUCGUAAGACGCUUGAGGAUGAGUCUGCGUCCCAUUAGCUAGUUGGUGAGGUAAUGGCUCACCAAGGCUUCGAUGGGUAGCUGGUCUGAGAGGAUGAUCAGCCUCACUGGAACUGACACACGGUCCAGACUCCUACGGGAGGCAGCAGUAGGGAAUAUUGCACAAUGGAGGAAACUACUGAUGCAGCGACGCCGCGUGAGUGAUGAAGGACUUCGGUUUGUAAAGCUCUGUUGUCAGGGAAUAAAAAAAUAGAAU